rnacentral:lncRNA from 1 species
GUAGUUGGGUGCGUGGUGGGUAUCGCGACCAGGAGGGGGAAAGAAAGGGUGAAACCCUACUUGUUCAAUCAAGGUCAAAAUUCAGCAAAUUAAUGGUGGUUCUUGACACAAAUCGAAUGCAUGAGACUGGAUACAACUUAAUCUAAGUAUAUUGAUCAUAAGGUAAGUUGCAAUUUAUGAUUUGAUGAUCUUGUAUGAAGUGGUUUAGGUUUAAUCCGUGAAAUUGUGUAAAAUUAAUCAUGUAUAUGUGUUAGAAUCACCAUGUAGAACAUGAACUAUGUAAGAUUCUAAGCAAUUUGAUGUUUUGGGAUAAAACCCACUUGUGCUAGUAAGAAUGGUGAGAUGAAUGAAUUACCAUGUUCAAUUCUUGUAUAAUUUUGAUGUAUGGCGUGCUAUAUGAUCGAUUCUUACUAGUUAGAUUGAGUAGGAUUUGAAAGAAAUAUGAUGUAGUGUUAUUGUUGAGGAUUGGAAACAAGUGGUAGAAUAUGAGCAUGAAAUACUUGUACAUUGUGCCUUUUUGUUGUACGCCCACAAAGUGUUUGAUAAAAUGCCUACACGCAACUUGAAUUGAUUCAAGUUUGUGUUAAAAAGUUAGUAAAUUCGUCACUUUUGACAGCCCUAGAUAGGCAUCUUGUAAAGGUCGUAUCUCACUCGUUAUUAGGAAUUAGACAACGAGCCUUAUAUCGUUGGAAAGCUUGUUUCGCGUGUUACAAUUCUUAUUUGGUCACAAGAUGCUGGUUAUGAGAUUUAGUGGGUCAAAACAGCAUGAAAAGUUAGUAAAUUCGUCAUUUUGACAGCCCUAGAUAGCCAUCUUGUAAAGGCCGUAUCUCAUUCGUUAUUAGGAAUUAGACAACGAGCCUUAUAUCGUUGGAAAGCUUGUUUCGCAUGUUACAAUUCUUAUUUGGUCACAAGAUGCUGGUUACGAGACUUAGUGGGUCAAAACAGCAUGAAAAGUUAGUAAAUUCGUCAUUUUGACAGCCCUAGAUAGCCAUCUUGUAAAGGCCGUAUCUCAUUCGUUAUUAGGAAUUAGACAACGAGCCUUAUAUCAUUGGAAAGCUUGUUUCGCGUGUUACAAUUCUUAUUUGGUCACAAGAUGCUGGUUAUGAGAUUUAGUGGGUCAAAACAGCAUGAAAAGUUAGUAAAUUCGUCAUUUUGACAGCCCUAGAUAGCCAUCUUGUAAAGGCCGUAUCUCAUUCGUUAUUAGGAAUUAGACAACGAGCCUUAUAUCGUUGGAAAGCUUGUUUCGCAUGUUACAAUUCUUAUUUGGUCACAAGAUGCUGGUUACGAGAUUUAGUGGGUCAAAACAGCAUGAAAAGUUAGUAAAUUCGUCAUUUUGACAGCCCUAGAUAGCCAUCUUGUAAAGGUCGUAUCUCAUUCGUUAUUAGGAAUUAGACAACGAGCCUUAUAUCGUUGGAAAGCUUGUUUCGCAUGUUACAAUUCUUAUUUGGUCACAAGAUGCUGGUUACGAGAUUUAGUGGGUCAAAACAGCAUGAAAAGUCGGUAAAUUCGUCAUUUUGACAGCCCUAGAUAGCCAUCUUGUAAAGGUCGUAUCUCAUUCGUUAUUAGGAAUUAGACAACGAGCCUUAUAUCGUUGGAAAGCUUGUUUCGCAUAUUACAAUUCUUAUUUGAAAGUCGAAGUCGGAUUAGGUGAUUAAAAAGGGGGAAAAUGACCCCGAACAGCUGCUGCGUGAAAAAAAAAAUGCGGCAAUGAAAAUAAUGUGUUUUGUGAACUUAAAACAUAUGAUUUUCUAGUCACCAAUUUACUAAACACUAAAUAUUGCUUCGGGUGAAUGUUACAGUUGUUAAGGUGUGUUUAAAGCGUUACUAUGUGUAAAAUUGGCGUUAAUGUACAGCAUGGUUAGCCUCUCGGAUAUGAUUGUAAUAGUAGAGAAGUCAGGCGUAUUGUAGUAGAUAAUCUAUGUGUCGCGUAUGAUGAUAAUUGAGUUGCUUGAAUAAGGAACAAGGUGACUUUUAGUCUAUAUGCCUUAUGUAUGUGGUAUUUGGUUAAUAAAAAGUCAAGUAAUGUAUUAAUGGAAAGAAACGAAUGUAGUAUGAAUGAGCAGGUGUGCUAACCAUAAUGUAAUUGUGAUGACAUGAAAGAAUAGGAAUCACAUUAGCAAGGACUCGAAAACGGAAGGUUAACGGGUCAAGCAGAGGCGAGGAAACAAGCGUGAACACUAACGCUCGAGGUAAGUGACUUUCGAUUCACUUCUUAGUAUACAUAUAGAGUUUUCUUGUUAUGGUUGAAUGGGAUGAUUGAUGUAUAUAAAAUGGCCGACAAGUAGGUAUGUAUGAAUGCAUUUAGGAAAAUUACGUAAGUACAUGCACGUGUGAGCUAAGGUAUGCACGGGUGUAGUUAUGAUUCAUUUUAUGAAUGUAUGUAAGUAUGGAGUUAUGUAUGCAUGUAUGUAUAUAUGUAGGUAUUGGUGUAUGUAUGUACGUAAGUAGUUAUGUAUGAGCAUGAGCAUUAUGUAUUUGAAUAUGAAAGUACAUACGUGUGUAGGUACGAACGUAUAUAUAUAUGUGGAUGCAAGUAAGUAUGUAUGUAUGUAUGUGAGUAGGUAUGUGUGUAUGUAGUUAUGUAUGUAUGUAUGUAAAUACAUAUGCAAAGAUGUAAUCAUGUAUGUAUGUAAUUAGAUGCGUGGGUAUGCAAGUAAAGGUAUGUAGAAAUAUAGGAGGACAUGUACGUAUGUAGACGCAUAUGUAUACAUGUAAACAUGUACAUGUGCAUGAUUUAGAUACGUAGAAUUUUAACGUUACUAAUUAUGCGUUUGAGGUUGGUAUGUGAUGCAGGAACAAGUACACCGGAUUCUUACGAAACUUAAACCGAACCCGGAAUAAGAGGAUGAGAAAGAAUAAUUGGAUGAAUUAAUGUUAAAUUGACGAACGUUAUUCAAUCUUUAAUUACAUGAGAUUAAUGUUAUAUGAUGUUGCCUUUGACUAAUGGUUAAGUUGUAUGUGAUGCCCACAGGUGUUACACGGACUUCUUCUGCUGCUAUGGAAGUGAAGUGGACGUAGAUCGAGUCAAGAGCAAGGAUUGUACGGAUAGAUUGGUCACAUAGUUGAAGUAUAUAACGUUUGGAAAUCUAAAUUUUAGUAUGAAUGUUGUAAAAUUCUUUUAUAGUACGUUUAACAUUUUUAGGAUUUGGAUCCUUCGUGAAAGAAAUGUUGUUAAUACGGAAGAAAAUUUUAAAGCUCUUUUUCCGCUGCGUU